UUCAUGUUUAUCGGAUUGGUUGACCAAAUGAUAAAAAUCACAGGAUAGAAAGCUUUGUGACCUAGGGCCAGAGAGGGAGCACACGUGACAUUACCCGCUCCCCGGCGCGUUCGGCUCCAGCCGCAGGACACCAACCACAGGGACGAUCCCGGGGAUCUGGAGCAGACCGGUCACCUCCACUGAGGCGCAGAAACCUGACGAACCGGCUGAGGAGUAAGAGCCUGAUGAGCCGGCUGAGACAUCCCCGGUUGCCUCGACUGAGGCACGGAAACCUAUCCAACCCGCUGAGGCCUCCCAGGUAGCUCCGCUCCAACACAGUAGUCAGCCAAUGCACGCUAGGUCAAUGCACGCUAAGAAGUGACACAGAGCUGUGACUACACAACUUUUAACGUUUAUCAUCUAAAGCAUUUAGUAACAUUGUUACUUCCAUCACAGAACAUAGUCAUUUCAAGUGCAACGUCAGCACACAGUGCAACGUCAACACAUUCCAAUAGCAGUAGGUGUGUUGCUUAGGCAUUUGAACAUAAUUAGAAUCUAAAUCAAUCUGAAAUAACGGUCUGAAACGCAACCAGUCUUUUUUUGAGAUCAUAAUAACAUUCUGUAUCACAUCUGGCAAGAGCUGAUGUGGAACGGACUUGAUACAGUCGAGGAGAUAGUAAAAUAACUACUAAACGACGUACCUCACUAAAGGGCAACUUGCACAAUAGCGUGUCAUGCACUCAAUAGUCAUACGUUUUUCAGUUUGACAAUCAGAGAAGGCUACACACCUUUUUUACUAGAGUACAGAAGGCAACGCCCACAGCAACCUGGGGAAACUCAUUCACUACCAUACCCACAGCGGUCACUCCUUGGGAAUAUUCCCAAACCCCUCUUCAUUUUACAGUGGACACCUGUGGUACAGUCAUACUGAGGGUAUUAUUUCCGGAAAAAGAACAUGCAUGUUAUUUCAUUGUCUUGGUGCAUGUUGAUUUGAUUGUCUUUCCUGAUACAAGUGUUCCAAAAGCAUUAGAAACGUGAAUACAAUUGUUGCACUGUCUGAUCAUCACCAUAUACAGUGCAUCAACAAGAGCAACUGAUCACACUGGAUGAUCAGUCACUACAGAUAUAUACCACCACUGACCAAUGUAGUGACAUUCCCUCUCAGGAAAUCUGCCAGAUACAGGGUUAUUAAUAACUCCAACGUGGCAUUUACACUGUGAUGGAACUGUAGCUGGUGUGCUCAAGACUUAACUAUGAACGGAAUAUUAUUCCUCUUCAGAGUGUACUGUAAACAGUGCUCAAUAUAGCUCAUCACUGUGUGAGAUCAUAUCUAUUGGAAGGAGUGGGAUGACGUGGUGAUUGCAGUCUCUAACCGAAGUGCUAAGUUAUAGAUACAUGGAAUAAACAGAAUUGCUUAAUCAGUGAAAAAAAACAUAAAUGCAAUGGCCACAAGAAAAGGGGUUGUGAAACCAUCACGGUCAGCAUUUCAAGCUACAACAACUAGAAACGGUUUAAGUUUUCAUCUGGACGAAACAGUCAAUGCCCAGGUUUGUUCAAGUAAAUCCACUUUCAAUUUAAAUGUACAACUUCAGGCCAACAUCCGCAAACCUCCUUUUAGUCUUUGCAGAUUUAAACGUUGGGGAGGACGACGCAAAAGACACCACAACAACACACAUAUCACUUACACGUAAACAGUUGAGUUGAGCCAUGAAACAGUUAUCUUAUCUGGCCGUGACAUCACUCCCUGCGGGUUUCUCAGGGGGAGUUGGGAUAUGCAAGAAAAGCAUUUCCAUUACACACCUGCAAGUGUGUAACAGGACAAAUAUUUAUUACCAUUAUUAUUAUUAUCAUUAUCAUUAUAAGUUGAACACUCACUGGGAGUAUACAUGAUCAGUCCCCUGAGUCUGUCUGCACUUUGGCAUCUCUAGCAGCAAGAAAUUAUAAUAAGAGGUAAUAACUAAGGCAUUAACUUGUUAUUGUAAGAAAUGUGAGAAAACAAAUCCACAAAGUUUUUUACUUACCAGUGAUAAGGUUGCUUGUGGCAAAAGCAAACACCGCCAGAAAACUGGAGGAUCGCCGGUUCAAAUCACAGGUCUGACAGGCAAAUCUGAUGGGAAGUGAGUAUCUUAAAUGUGCCCUUGAGCCAGGCACUUAACCUCUGUCCACAAUCUCUUUUGGUGUGACCUCUGAACUCUCCAUGUCAGUUUUCUCCUCCUGGUUCUUACAGCACAGGGAGUGCAGCAGCACCACACAGACACACAGGUAAACAGCCACCACAAUCUACACCACCACCCCAAACAGCACGAAGGUCAACAGGUUACCGUUCGCGGUCCAUCACACUCACCAACCCAUAGGUGUGGAGAGGGAUAGAGAGAGUGAUAAAAGAAGUUGCAGAUUAAACAAUGUAUCUGUGUAGUGGAAAAACACAGACUGUCUGAGCAAGGUGUAGCUUAAGAUUUUAACUUGUUUGUGUGUGUUAUAAAGACUGUGUUUGUAUAAUGGACUUCAGAACAUUCUCUGAAUAAACUGUACUAACCUUUUG
ensembl:lncRNA